GAUGAACGCUGGCGGCGUGCCUAAUACAUGCAAGUCGAGCGAACAGAUAAGGAGCUUGCUCCUUUGACGUUAGCGGCGGACGGGUGAGUAACACGUGGAUAACCUACCUAUAAGACUGGGAUAACUUCGGGAAACCGGAGCUAAUACCGGAUAACAUAUUGAACCGCAUGGUUCAAUAGUGAAAGGCGGCUUUGCUGUCACUUAUAGAUGGAUCCGCGCCGUAUUAGCUAGUUGGUAAGGUAACGGCUUACCAAGGCGACGAUACGUAGCCGACCUGAGAGGGUGAUCGGCCACACUGGAACUGAGACACGGUCCAGACUCCUACGGGAGGCAGCAGUAGGGAAUCUUCCGCAAUGGGCGAAAGCCUGACGCAGCAACGCCGCGUGAGUGAUGAAGGUCUUCGGAUCGUAAAACUCUGUUAUCGGGGAAGAACAGAUGUGGAAGUAACUGUGCACAUCUUGACGGUACCUGAUCAGAAAGCCACGGCUAACUACGUG
rnacentral:rRNA from 1 species